UGAGGAUGGGUAUGUGGUUCCCUGUCCGCAUCCCUGCUUCCCAAAACCCAUCCCCAUCCGUGACAGGUAUGAUUUUUAGUUCCUCGUCCCCGCACAUAUCGGGUAUACUCGUCCUCUACUUGUAUAUGUCCUAUAAUUUUAAAAAAUAAAAUAAAACAUAAAAAUUUAAUUUUAAAAAGAAAAAAAAGAAAUAUUUAAUUUUCUAUAAAAUAGUGUCAUCAUAUAUAUCCAAGAAAAAAUGCUCCAUCACUCUACCAUAUGCAUAUCCGUUCCCAAAGUUCUAGUUUUAUCACCAAAUGAAUGUACAAAUCAAUCAUGACCUAGUAAUUUUUGUAAUAAAAAUCCCACAAUAACAUGAUUAUGCACUUGAAUUACAAAGAC
rnacentral:lncRNA from 1 species